UACGUAGGGCGCAAGCGUUGUCCGGAAUUAUUGGGCGUAAAGAGCUCGUAGGCGGUUUGUCGCGUCUGCUGUGAAAACUCGAGGCUCAACCUCGGGCUUGCAGUGGGUACGGGCAGACUAGAGUGCGGUAGGGGUGACUGGAAUUCCUGGUGUAGCGGUGGAAUGCGCAGAUAUCAGGAGGAACACCGAUGGCGAAGGCAGGUCACUGGGCCGCAACUGACACUCAUGGACGAAAGCUAGGGGAGCGAAUGGG
rnacentral:rRNA from 1 species